rnacentral:rRNA from 1 species
CACGUAGGGUGCGAGCGUUGUCCGGAAUUAUUGGGCGUAAAGAGCUCGUAGGCGGUGUGUCGCGUCGGCCGUGAAAACCUGCAGCUUAACUGUGGGCUUGCGGUCGAUACGGGCAUCACUGGAGUUCGGCAGGGGAGACUGGAAUUCCUGGUGUAGCGGUGAAAUGCGCAGAUAUCAGGAGGAACACCGGUGGCGAAGGCGGGUCUCUGGGCAGAUACUGACGCUGAGGAGCGAAAGCAUGGGUAGCGAAAAGG